UUUUAUGGAGAGUUUGAUCCUGGCUCAGGAUGAACGCUGGCGGCGUGCCUAAUACAUGCAAGUCGAGCGAACAGAUGAGGAGCUUGCUCCUCUGACGUUAGCGGCGGACGGGUGAGUAACACGUGGAUAACCUACCUAUAAGACUGGGAUAACUUCGGGAAACCGGAGCUAAUACCGGAUAAUAUAUUGAACCGCAUGGUUCAAUAGUGAAAGACGGUUUUGCUGUCACUUAUAGAUGGAUCCGCGCCGCAUUAGCUAGUUGGUAAGGUAACGGCUUACCAAGGCAACGAUGCGUAGCCGACCUGAGAGGGUGAUCGGCCACACUGGAACUGAGACACGGUCCAGACUCCUACGGGAGGCAGCAGUAGGGAAUCU
rnacentral:rRNA from 1 species